rnacentral:rRNA from 1 species
UACGUAGGGGGCUAACGUUGCUCGGAAUUACUGGGCGUAAAGGGUGUCUAGGUGGCAGUGCAAGUCGAAGAUGAAAUCCCAUGGCUCAACCAUGGAAUGGUUUUCGAAACUGCACAGCUUGAGGAUGGUUGAGGAAGGCGGAAUUCCCGGUGGAGCGGUGAAAUGCGUAGAUAUCGGGAGGAACACCAGAGGCGAAGGCGGCCUUCUGAGUCAUUCCUGACACUGAAACACGAAAGCUAGGGGAGCGAACGGGAUUAGAUACCCCCGUA